UACGGGGGGGGCAAGCGUUGUUCGGAAUUACUGGGCGUAAAGGGUUCGUAGGUGGCUUGCUAAGUCAGACGUGAAAUCCCUCAGCUUAACUGGGGAACUGCGUCUGAGACUGGAAGGCUUGAGUGCAGGAGAGGAACGCGGAAUUCCAGGUGUAGCGGUGAAAUGCGUAGAUAUCUGGAGGAAUACCGGUGGCGAAGGCGGCAUCCUGGACCGGCAUUGACGCUGAGGAGCGAAAGCCAGGGGAGCAAGCGGG
rnacentral:rRNA from 1 species